rnacentral:rRNA from 1 species
AACGAACGCUGGCGGCAUGCCUAACACAUGCAAGUCGAACGAGACCUUCGGGUCUAGUGGCGCACGGGUGCGUAACGCGUGGGAACCUGCCUUUAGGUUCGGAAUAACUCAGAGAAAUUUGAGCUAAUACCGGAUGAUGUCUUCGGACCAAAGAUUUAUCGCCUUUAGAUGGGCCCGCGUUGGAUUAGCUAGUUGGUGGGGUAAAGGCCUACCAAGGCGACGAUCCAUAGCUGGUCUGAGAGGAUGAUCAGCCACACUGGGACUGAGACACGGCCCAGACUCCUACGGGAGGCAGGAGUGGGGAAUAUUGGACAAUGGGCGAAAGCCUGAACCAGCAAUGCCGCGUGAGUGAUGAAGGCCUUAGGGUUGUAAAGCUCUUUUACCCGAGAUGAUAAUGACAGUAUCGGGAGAAUAAGCUCCGGCUAACUCCGUG